GGGUUGUGAGGUUAAGCGACUAAGCGUACACGGUGGAUGCCCUGGCAGUCAGAGGCGAUGAAGGACGUGCUAAUCUGCGAAAAGCGUCGGUAAGGUGAUAUGAACCGUUAUAACCGGCGAUGUCCGAAUGGGGAAACCCAGUGCAAUUCGUUGCACUAUCGUUAACUGAAUACAUAGGUUAACGAGGCGAACCGGGGGAACUGAAACAUCUAAGUACCCCGAGGAAAAGAAAUCAACCGAGAUUCCCCCAGUAGCGGCGAGCGAACGGGGAGCAGCCCAGAGUCUGAAUCAGCUUGUGUGUUAGUGGAACGGUCUGGAAAGUCCGACGGUACAGGGUGAUAGUCCCGUACACCAAAAUGCACAGGCUGUGAACUCGAAGAGUAGGGCGGGACACGUGGUAUCCUGUCUGAAUAUGGGGGGACCAUCCUCCAAGGCUAAAUACUCCUGACUGACCGAUAGUGAACCAGUACCGUGAGGGAAAGGCGAAAAGAACCCCGGCGAGGGGAGUGAAAAAGAACCUGAAACCGUGUACGUACAAGCAGUGGGAGCACCUUCGGGUGUGACUGCGUACCUUUUGUAUAAUGGGUCAGCGACUUAUAUUCUGUAGCAAGGUUAACCGUAUAGGGGAGCCGCAGGGAAACCGAGUCUUAACUGGGCGUUAAGUUGCAGGGUAUAGACCCGAAACCCGGUGAUCUAGCCAUGGGCAGGUUGAAGGUUGGGUAACACUAACUGGAGGACCGAACCGACUAAUGUUGAAAAAUUAGCGGAUGACUUGUGGCUGGGGGUGAAAGGCCAAUCAAACCGGGAGAUAGCUGGUUCUCCCCGAAAGCUAUUUAGGUAGCGCCUCGUGAACUCAUCUUCGGGGGUAGAGCACUGUUUCGGCUAGGGGGUCAUCCCGACUUACCAACCCGAUGCAAACUACGAAUACCGAAGAAUGUUAUCACGGGAGACACACGGCGGGUGCUAACGUCCGUCGUGAAGAGGGAAACAACCCAGACCGCCAGCUAAGGUCCCAAAGUCAUGGUUAAGUGGGAAACGAUGUGGGAAGGCACAGACAGCCAGGAUGUUGGCUUAGAAGCAGCCAUCAUUUAAAGAAAGCGUAAUAGCUCACUGGUCGAGUCGGCCUGCGCGGAAGAUGUAACGGGGCUAAACCAUGCACCGAAGCUGCGGCAGCGACACUAUGUGUUGUUGGGUAGGGGAGCGUUCUGUAAGCCUGCGAAGGUGUGCUGUGAGGCAUGCUGGAGGUAUCAGAAGUGCGAAUGCUGACAUAAGUAACGAUAAAGCGGGUGAAAAGCCCGCUCGCCGGAAGACCAAGGGUUCCUGUCCAACGUUAAUCGGGGCAGGGUGAGUCGACCCCUAAGGCGAGGCCGAAAGGCGUAGUCGAUGGGAAACAGGUUAAUAUUCCUGUACUUGGUGUUACUGCGAAGGGGGGACGGAGAAGGCUAUGUUAGCCGGGCGACGGUUGUCCCGGUUUAAGCAUGUAGGCUGGUUAUCCAGGCAAAUCCGGAUAAUCAAGGCUGAGGUGUGAUGACGAGGCACUACGGUGCUGAAGUAACAAAUGCCCUGCUUCCAGGAAAAGCCUCUAAGCAUCAGGUAACAUCAAAUCGUACCCCAAACCGACACAGGUGGUCAGGUAGAGAAUACCAAGGCGCUUGAGAGAACUCGGGUGAAGGAACUAGGCAAAAUGGUGCCGUAACUUCGGGAGAAGGCACGCUGGUGUGUAGGUGAAGUCCCUGCGGAUGGAGCUGAGACCAGUCGAAGAUACCAGCUGGCUGCAACUGUUUAUUAAAAACACAGCACUGUGCAAACACGAAAGUGGACGUAUACGGUGUGACGCCUGCCCGGUGCCGGAAGGUUAAUUGAUGGGGUUAUCCGUAAGGAGAAGCUCUUGAUCGAAGCCCCGGUAAACGGCGGCCGUAACUAUAACGGUCCUAAGGUAGCGAAAUUCCUUGUCGGGUAAGUUCCGACCUGCACGAAUGGCGUAAUGAUGGCCAGGCUGUCUCCACCCGAGACUCAGUGAAAUUGAACUCGCUGUGAAGAUGCAGUGUACCCGCGGCAAGACGGAAAGACCCCGUGAACCUUUACUAUAGCUUGACACUGAACAUUGAGCCUUGAUGUGUAGGAUAGGUGGGAGGCUUUGAAGCGUGGACGCCAGUCUGCGUGGAGCCAACCUUGAAAUACCACCCUUUAAUGUUUGAUGUUCUAACGUUGGCCCCUGACCGGGGUUGCGGACAGUGUCUGGUGGGUAGUUUGACUGGGGCGGUCUCCUCCCAAAGCGUAACGGAGGAGCACGAAGGUUAGCUAAUCCUGGUCGGACAUCAGGAGGUUAGUGCAAUGGCAUAAGCUAGCUUGACUGCGAGCGUGACGGCGCGAGCAGGUGCGAAAGCAGGUCAUAGUGAUCCGGUGGUUCUGAAUGGAAGGGCCAUCGCUCAACGGAUAAAAGGUACUCCGGGGAUAACAGGCUGAUACCGCCCAAGAGUUCAUAUCGACGGCGGUGUUUGGCACCUCGAUGUCGGCUCAUCACAUCCUGGGGCUGAAGUAGGUCCCAAGGGUAUGGCUGUUCGCCAUUUAAAGUGGUACGCGAGCUGGGUUUAGAACGUCGUGAGACAGUUCGGUCCCUAUCUGCCGUGGGCGCUGGAGAAUUGAGGGGGGCUGCUCCUAGUACGAGAGGACCGGAGUGGACGCAUCACUGGUGUUCGGGUUGUCAUGCCAAUGGCACUGCCCGGUAGCUAAAUGCGGAAGAGAUAAGUGCUGAAAGCAUCUAAGCACGAAACUUGCCCCGAGAUGAGUUCUCCCUGAGACUUUAAGUCUCCUGAAGGAACGUUAAAGACGAUGACGUUGAUAGGCCGGGUGUGUAAGCGCAGCGAUGCGUUGAGCUAACCGGUACUAAUGAACCGUGAGGCUUAACCUUACAACGCCGAAG
rnacentral:rRNA from 2 species